UGGAAUUUUGAAAAUUUACAUUUGGGUCCAGUCGUCCCCAACCCUCCUUCUUCCUCCUCUGGCUGUUUACUGCUGCUCCUCUGUUUUACUGUGCCGGCGCCGCAAUUCUUGAAUUCAAGCCGGCCAGUGCAGCCCCCCUUCCCCCCCCUCUCCUAGGCGCCGCCCUAGGCCUGCUCUUUGCCCUAGCCCGCCCCCGUGGCCGUUCCUCGCGCUCCUACGUGUCUGCCGUUGUCGCCCGAGCUGCUACGUGGCCGGUCUCCCCACGCCACCUCCCUCCAGUGCGCCUCCUGCCUAUCCCUGCCACGGCCCUCUCCUUCCUGAGCUGCUUCACCACAGAGGACCGCCUCCACUGGCAUUUCCCCACCUCCUGACGUCUUCAUUUUCCUUCCCUCGUUCUGUUUGCUGCUGCUUCCCUUGCGCCAAACUGCCAUCCCCUUCCUCCUCCCUGCUGUGCGCCGUCCCUCUGUUCCAGGCCGCCUCCAACCUCGCCUCCGGAUCCCUGUACCCCGCUGCCUUUCCCCAGGACAGAACCGCACCGCCCCUUGCCCUCCCAGGCCGGAGCAGUCUGUUCCACACGGAGCUCCACCUCCCCACCGCCGAGCACUCUCUUGUGGCCCUCCUGCUCACCUUGCGACCCCCAAAAUGGGCUCCUGAUGUGCUGCUCGACCUCCCCCGGCGACCAUCUGAUAAGGGACCUCGUGCAGCAAUUAAGACAAGUUCAGGGGGUUUUCUGCGAAGUGUAGACCCAUAGGAACAGUGCUGUUCGAGGACCUGUAUGUAAAGAUCCGACUGCUUUUGCCGACGAUGUCUACAAGCUGAUCGUGGAUCGAGCCGUGAAAAUUCCUACAGAUCCCGGAACCAGAAGAAGGUUGUUCUGAAGACCUCAAGAACUUCAUCAGGGAAUUCUCGGAAGGCCCGAACCAAAGUUUCGGACGUUAUUAACUUGACUAACCCCAG